rnacentral:rRNA from 1 species
AACGAACGCUGGCGGCAUGCCUAACACAUGCAAGUCGAACGAGACCUUCGGGUCUAGUUGCGCACGGGUGCGUAACGCCUGGGAACCUGCCCUUAGGUUCGGAAUAACUCCCCGAAAGGGGUGCUAAUACCGGCUAAUGUCUUCGGACCAAAGAUUUAUCGCCUUUGGAUGGGCCCGCGUUUGAUUAGCUCGUUGGUAGGGUAAAAGCAUACCAAGGCGACGAUCCAUAGCUGGUCUGAGAGGAUGAACAGCCACACUGGGACUGAGACACGGCCCAGACUCCUACGGGAGGCAGCAGUGGGGAAUAUUGGACAAUGGGCGAAAGUCUGAGCCAGAAAUGCCGCGUGAGUGAUGAAGGCCUGAGGGUUGUAAAGCUCUUUUACCCGGGAUGAUAAUGACAGUACCGGGAGAAUAAGCUCCGGCUAACUCCGUG